rnacentral:lncRNA from 1 species
UUUCUCUCAGCUUUACCCUGGCCUAGACUACACCCGUGAGUGGGAAGGGUUAUUCAUUACAGGUACCGUUGGUGACUUUGGUUCUGUUGGUGACUCUAGUUCAGACAACAGUGUGAUCAGUUUGACCAUAAGUUGGAUUUAUGUUCUGAUCUUGACUGAAGCUUCGACCUAGUCAGAGUUUGCACAACCAGCCAGUCCAGUCUGCAUCAUGUGCAUCAUAGCAUAUUUAUUUUUCAAAAGAAACGCAAUGAAAAA